rnacentral:rRNA from 1 species
CUUGACUGUAGCCUGGAAUUGGGUUCGGGCUUUUCUUGCGCAGACUAGGUGGGAGGCUAUGAAGAUUUCCUUCCGGGGAAGUUGGAGCCAACAGUGAGAGACCACUCUGGAAAGGCUAGAAUCCUAAUGGUGAUCCUUGAAUCAGGACACUUGACAGUUUCAGGUGGGCAGUUUUUCUGGGGCGGAAGCCUCAUAAAGGGUAACUGAGGCGCGCAAAGGUCCCCUCAGUCUGGACGGAAAUCAGACAUUGAGUGUAAAGGCAAAAGGGAGCUUGACUGCAAGACCCACAAGUCGAGCAGGAGCGAAAGCUGGCCUUAGUGAUCCGACGGUGCCGUGUGGAAGGGCCGUCGCUCAACGAAUAAAAGUUA